rnacentral:rRNA from 1 species
GAGACCUUCGGGUCUAGCGGCGGACGGGUGAGUAACGCGUGGGAACGUGCCCUUCUCUACGGAAUAGCCCCGGGAAACUGGGAGUAAUACCGUAUACGCCCUUUGGGGGAAAGAUUUAUCGGAGAAGGAUCGGCCCGCGUUGGAUUAGGUAGUUGGUGGGGUAAUGGCCCACCAAGCCGACGAUCCAUAGCUGGUUUGAGAGGAUGAUCAGCCACACUGGGACUGAGACACGGCCCAGACUCCUACGGGAGGCAGCAGUGGGGAAUCUUAGACAAUGGGGGCAACCCUGAUCUAGCCAUGCCGCGUGAGUGAUGAAGGCCUUAGGGUUGUAAAGCUCUUUCAGCUGGGAAGAUAAUGACGGUACCAGCAGAAGAAGCCCCGGCUAACUCCGUGCCAGCAGCCGCGGUAAUACGGAGGGGGCUAGCGUUGUUCGGAAUUACUGGGC